UAAUAAACAAGAAAAGACACGCGAGCACCAUAUACGCGUCAGUAUUCCUACACAGACAUAAUAUGGAAUAAUGUUAUGCGCUCGGACGACCAGUAGUUGACGCAGUGACUCGCGGUCCCCAAAUAAACGCGUAGAUUAAUAAUAUUCUUCGGGUUGGGCUUCGUUUUGUUAUCUUCAACACACAUACUUCUAAUAAUAGAAGAUGGCUGCCGACUGAGUGUUGUACGAGUAGAAUCGGUCGGUCGCAAGUCGCACACGUGCAGCUCCUCGCCGCUUUCCAGAGAUCGUCGGCCUGAUUGAGUCCGCAACAGUCGAAAGCCCGCGGAGACGUCAUCCGUACGACCUCGUCGUCGGGAUCGAAUAGAACGACGACGACCGCCACACAGCCAUACGUUACUCUCGGCGAACCAAAUAUUUUCGGAUUUAAUUUUGUUAACGAUAUAUUAUUGUGUACGUUGCGUACACGCGCACAGUGCGUGUGUAGUAUCGUCAGCUCAUAUUAUAUUGUACAAUCGCGGGAGCGGACCGAAUGUCGUACAUUAUAAUAUUAUUAUCAUUUUCACAUAUUAUUAUUAUUAUUAUUAUUAUUAUUAUAUUAUACGUGACGUGUCUGAGUCCAUGUUCGAAUUCGUCACCGACGGACUGCAGCAGGAAACGCAUUGGGAUUGCAUAUUCAGUGCAUAUACCAUAUUGUAUAUUAUCUACUUCCCCAUCGCCCGCCAGCUGUUCCCCGCCUGUACUAACGAAACACCGAGUACCCGAGGUUCAGCGACGAACAGUUAAUAAAACAGUCUGCUCCCACGGACUGAAAAUCGUUUACGACGCCUCUGCCGUCUUCGUUCAGAUACAAUAACUAUAGAAGGCAGAUGUUGCUGAGGGAGCAAUGAAAUUAGAUAACUUUUGAUUAGUUAGUCAAGAAAACGUGAUAAACUGGUGGCAAGACUUGGCAAGACUGUAAUAACGGCAAAAGGUAAGUAAUGACUAGUAAGUUCAUACUUCAAAAGGCAAUACUUAAUAUUUUCCAUAAAUACUUACAUAAUUCAAACACAUAAAUAUUCAAUACAUAAAAUGGAAAGCGGCAACAUAAACUUAAACGUUUUUUUUCGCUUUCACUCGAAAUUAUAAUAUAAAAAGAGACUUUUGGGUAUCGUAAGUCAAUCCCCACUAUUUUAGGGAUUUAUCAUUUUGUAUCAUUUAACUCAAUGUAAGUUAUGAUCCCGAAUCAUAUUUUAUAUUAU